CUCAGGAGCUGCAUGCAUCUUCCUGAUGGGCUUUGCAGGACAAGCCUUCACCCCAGAGGAACAUGGACCACUGGGAGGUCCUUCAAGAAGGGAUGACAGGCUGGUAGAACAGUGGACUAACGAGACAGAAAAGAACCAGACUGCCCAGCACAUUAAAAGAAGACUAGAAUAAGUUUUCAAAGAACAUAUCUCAAAGGAUCUUCAAAGGAUCUUCAAAGGAUCAAAGAACAACACCCAAAGGACAGGGAUGAGAGGAUGUCAUGGAGGAGUUUGCCUCUGCUCCAGGGUGCUGCAAGAAGCAGCCCUGCAGAGGGAGGGUGCAAUGUGAGCAGAUCCCAGCAUUCAAUCGUCAAGUAUUAAUGGGCCAGGAAUGCUGCAGCUGUAAAAUAUGGAAAGAAAAUCAUUCUGCUUUGCAGAAGGACCUCGCUGAGGAUGACUCCACCAGCACAAUCCACCAAUCUAUCACCUCCCAGAAUCCCACAUGAGAAGCCUGGAGAUCAGACAGGGAACCAUGAAUCCCAUGGCUGUGCUGGAGCCCCAGAAGGACAGAGGAUGGAGAAGAGGACGUUAGAGACAGGGUGGGGACCAUAGAGCCCGGGCCAGAUGAAUGCUUCAGUAUGCUUGGAAGUGUCAGUGAAGCAAAUAGAGUGUUUCUAACACAGUCCUGAGCAUUGAAAAAUAGUCCUUAAAUUGCCUCCAGAACCGACGUGAAAUCUGAAGAUUUGGGAAUAUCUCUUGUGAUUGAUUGAGUGACUGAUAGAUUUGCUGAUACGUGUGCUAUACGUGUGUGUUAGGACUUGAUUCAGCUGUCCAAACACAGUUUCUUUGAGCCAAGCUGGAUGUUAGAAGCUCCCAGACUCCAGCUCUUCCUUCUGAAAGGCACUCAUCUCCCCUCAGAUGUGUCACUUUGCCAGGCCUGUGGGAUGCUUCAGAUGCACAAGGGCAUCUUGGAUGGCACCAGGCUCUGUGCGUGGGCAGCCAAAUCCCACCCUCUGAGUCAGAAAGAUUGCCUUCUCAAGGUUUUCUCUACAGUCGCUGGGAUCAGAAUUCUACCUUCAAAAUAAAUAACAUCCAAAGCCACGAUUCCUGGAUGGUCAAUUAAUUUUGUGGGGGCUGGUUUGGAAAGAUUCUGAAACCCAAUCCU